rnacentral:lncRNA from 13 species
GUGAGGAGGCCCCUGCCCCCCCACCUCCCACGCUCAGCCUGGUUAACCCCUGUUUUACCAUGGCUCCCAGGUGCGUGGGUCCCAAGGCUCGCUGCAGAUGAAGAAUCAGAAUCCCUUAGGCAUCACCAGGUGGGGCACAUCCCUGUCCCUAUGCUUGCAAAGCCAGGCUAGCCGCUACCAGGACUCGUAUUGAGAGCUCUUCAGACACUUUGUAAGAACCACUGAAGGCCACUGUCCCAUCCCAGUGAUCAUUUGCGUUACACGUACUUGAGGGAAAUUCUGAGAUGCCCCUUUGGGGUUCUGUGCAUGUACCCUGUUCCCUGACGUGUCCUAAGAAGUGUUCUUGACUCUGAAGUUUAUAAAAUGACAGUGACUCCUGAACCUCCUGAGCUCUAGUGGAUAUCCUGUGUCCUGGAAGACGGGACAUCUUCUACCCUCUGUCGGUCCUGGGGGUGACUGGGAACAGGGAGGUUGAGCAGAAUUCCUGGACCUGGGUCGGGCUUGAUCAAGAGGGGCAGGUGGGCCUCCCUAGGGUCGGUGUCCCCUGCAAGUUCCCCAGCAAGAGGAAGCCUGGCUCCCAUGUGUUGGCUUCUGUCCUGAAUCUGUGCACAUGUUCCUCGUGUGCAGGGAAGAACCUCCUGAAAUCACUAAAGAGCAGUUCCUCAGGGCCUUCUGGGUGGCUGUGGCCGCGGAGCAGUCGUGGUGGAACCGGCCAGCUGUGGACCUGUGCUGCGAAUUGGCAGAGGCCUCCGCGGUGAAGACAGAAGCCCGGUGAAUCAACCCGAGGCUAGAGCCAAGACCCGGCUCGUAUUCACUUGCCUGCUUCACUUGUCGCUGUUACUGAGAGAGGGAGAUGGAACCUUCCAGGGACCUUGUCCUCACCGGAAACUCAGAAGAGGAGGCGUUGGGAAACCAUAUCUGUUUCAUUGCUGGUGUAAUGAGGCUUUUCAAGAUGUGACUUCACACCGAGGGACAGGAGUGCGGCUUGCUUGCCCGUUUUGUGUGGGUGGUGGAAACCUUCCUUCGAAAGGCAGUGCCUUGCGGAGCAGACCUGCCCCAACUCUAGCUUAGCCUUUCAAAACGAUGUGUGGAACCUACUGGAGGUGUUUUUAUAUAUUUGAAAAUAAUGGCCUGUAUUUCUCAUGCUGUACUUAAAAAAUAAUAACUUUUUAAACAAAGAUAUUCAGUUCACCCUUGUGCUGAAAGCACUCAUUUCUGUGUUCAUUCCUGAAAGGGCCUUUUAGAGUCCCCCUUUCUCCUUUCUAUGCCGAGGGAACAUCCCAAGUCCCCUCCCCUCUUCCUGAGUUUGAGGCCUUGGCACUUCUGUGACGCAGAGUUCUGUAGCUGUGAGGGGUUGGGGCGCACAGGUGCCGCCCAGUCGUCCUCAUUGGACGUGGGGACAGGUAGGAGCCAGGGAAAGUGGUGAGCAGGCUGUGGCAUGAGGGCGUGCAUGCCAGCCAGGAAGUGGGGACCAGGGCCAGCGCAGUGCCUCACCUGCAUGCCCCUCACCGGUGGGGGAACCUGGCAUCUCUCCCUCUUUCCUUGGUUCUAUCUUUGUUUUAGGCCAACUUUUAAAAAUUCUGAGGCCUCCCUCGAGGUUGAACAGAUUUCUAGAGCCUUAUUUUUGCCGUGACAGGUCCCUAGUUCCUUGUUCAAGAAACGAAGAAACCUGAGAACCAAGAGAACUGAAGUGAAGCCAUUUGGCC